rnacentral:rRNA from 1 species
AUAACCCGGGGAAACCUGGGCUAAUGCCGAAUGAGGCCUACGAGAUCCUCGGAUCAUGUUGGGAAAAGAUGGGCCUCUGCUUGCAAGCUAUCGCUUUGAGAUGGGCCCGCGUCCCAUUAGCUAGUUGGUGAGGUAACGGCUCACCAAGGCUCCGAUGGGUAGCUGGUCUGAGAGGACGAUCAGCCACACUGGAACUGAGACACGGUCCAGACUCCUACGGGAGGCAGCAGUCGGGAAUCUUGGGCAAUGGGCGCAAGCCUGACCCAGCGACGCCGCGUGAGGGAUGAAGGCCUUCGGGUCGUAAACCUCUGUCGGGAGGGAAGAACGUCGGUGAGGUGAACAAUCUCACUGGUUGACGGUACCUCCAAAGGAAGCGCCGGCUAACUCCGUGCCAGCAGCCGCGGUAA